GAUGAACGCUGGCGGCGUGCCUAAUACAUGCAAGUCGAGCGAACAGACGAGGAGCUUGCUCCUCUGACGUUAGCGGCGGACGGGUGAGUAACACGUGGAUAACCUACCUAUAAGACUGGGAUAACUUCGGGAAACCGGAGCUAAUACCGGAUAAUAUAUUGAACCGCAUGGUUCAAUAGUGAAAGACGGUUUUGCUGUCACUUAUAGAUGGAUCCGCGCCGCAUUAGCUAGUUGGUAAGGUAACGGCUUACCAAGGCAACGAUGCGUAGCCGACCUGAGAGGGUGAUCGGCCACACUGGAACUGAGACAGGGACCAGACUCCUACGGGAGGCAGCAGUAGGGAAUCUUCCGCAAUGGGCGAAAGCCUGACGGAGCAACGCCGCGUGAGUGAUGAAGGUCUUCGGAUCGUAAAACUCUGUUAUUAGGGAAGAACAAAUGUGUACGUAACUAUGCACGUCUUGACGGUACCUAAUCAGAAAGCCACGGCUAACUACGUG
rnacentral:rRNA from 1 species